AUGCCGGUUUGCUUCAGAAUCCCAAAGAUGCCUUUUCAUUCUCAGCCAAACCGCUACUUAAUUUUUGUGGGAAUUUUCUCAUUACUCCUAAAAUCAGGUACUUCUCAAAGCGAUUCAGUGUCUCAAAAACAAAACCACGUGGAAAUCCUAGAAGGAGAAAAUGCCACUUUGACCUGUGACUUCACAACUAUCAGCUCUACUCCAUACCUUUUUUGGUACCGUCAGUAUGAAAAUCAAACACCUGAACGGAUCCUGAGUGCUGACAAAUAUGGUUCAGAGGAUAACUAUUUCCAGGAGGGAAAGUUUUCUACCACCUUAGUUUUGGGGAAUCAGAAUUCAGUUCCUCUGAACAUCAGAAGUGUCUCUCUACUGGAUGGAGCUGUUUAUUUCUGUGCUCUGAAUCCCACAAUGAAUCAUCUCUGUAUACAGACUCACACAAAACAUGUGACACCAAACUCAACUCUGUACAGAGAAUUCUUUCCCACUAACCUCUCAUUCAUCUAA